ACUAGUAAUUUAAUCUUUGUAUCCUAUAUCUACACUAGUAUCAAAAUAAAGCAAAAUCCUCUGUCAAAAACACCCUGAAGCUAAUUAAAAGACAGAAAAGUAAAGUACAGUCAGCGCAAAACUCGGCAGAAGCUGAGACCCUUUGUCCGUUUUAUUGCUCUCUGUGAUGAAUAUUACUAGUACUACCUCUUAGCUUCUAGUUUCUGCGUUGUCAUCCAAAUCCAUGGAGUUAUACCAGGUUUCUAGCUCCUAAUCUCUACAGAAGGGUCAUCUCUUUAGAGAUCCUUUGAGCAAGAUACUGUGUGUAUUCUCUUCCCUUGCCUCCUUUUCAUCUUCCUGAUUGAAUUGGACUCUCUAUUCAAGAUCAAAACAAGACCUGCAUUUCUUUUCAGUUUCGUUUCUUGUUAAAAUGAUUAUUAACAUUACCAACAAAACCAACGCCAACAAUCAACCUUCUAUGUCAUUCCCAUCAUCACAAUCAUUGAUAAGGAGCCGGCCGCUUUUAGGACACGCCAACUCCUCAAGUUCCUCCUCCUGCAGCGGCCGUUUAGGUGAGUUAGCUGGAGGGACAACGGCAGAGUGU
rnacentral:lncRNA from 1 species